AUCCAGUGUAGCUUUCUUUGAAUUUCCUGGUAAUUGUUACUGUUAUCAUGGUUUUUGAAUUUUUGAACUUCUCUGAAUUUGUCAUUUUAUUUUGUUUCAAAUAGCCGAUUGAUUGUCAUUAACAGUGUUUGUAAUUGAAACUUAAUACCUGGCAGAUCUAGUAGUUCCAGCUGCAUGCAUGAUACGGAUAGAAAUGGGUUGCCGUUGUUGUUUGCUACGUAAGUUGUGGGGCCCAUCUUCUCCCAUUCAGAGGUUGAGAGAGAUGCCUUCCGACGGAUCUGGAAGUCGGUUGUAUUUGGUGGAUGAAAUCCCGAGUGUUUAUGUCAGCGAUUACCGAUCGAGUGUGCAGUGUGGUGGGACAAGUGUAGGAAGCACACCCAGACGUUGGAAAAUCUAAUACUGCCGUAAUGUAUGGGAUGAGAGAUGUGGAUGCAAAACCGAUAUUGUUCUGCCAUAGGGCAUUCAGUUCGUGUGUAUCAAUUGGCGAGGUGAGUGACGUUGAAGUUUGUCCUUGUGUCAUUUAUAUUUUUGAAUCAGUUGAUGACUGCCUUACAAAUAUUAAAUAAUUAAUUAAGGGGAUUAGUGCUGGUAAAUAAAUUUAGAAAUAGUUGUUUGGUGCCCGAAAAGGGUGUAUAAGUUGAUGAUUUGGUUUGUUUCAUGUUGCAUCAGAAGUUGCUGGGUUUUUGGUUAUGUUUUAUUAUGCCAGUUAGAGAUCAAAGAAUUAUUGUAAUGUAAUUUGAAAACUUGAAUAUUGUUGGACCUACCAGCUGGGGAUGGAAUAGAAGUAAAAUGGAGGUAGAGAGAAGAUUUUAGCGUUUGUUUGAAUGAAGGUCGUUACGGAGUUGUAUACUUAUCGGAGUUAAAGCAAGAUUAUUUCGUUGUUUUUGAGAACAACGGGGAAUUUAAAUUCAAAUUCCUGGUGAUUCAUUUGAGUGACUCCGAUAUUGAUUAUUCAAGUUUGAUAAGUUUCCAUGAAGAUGACCGCUGUGUGGGAAAUAAUUUUCCGAUUCAUAUGAUGGUGAUCACUAUGGAAACCUCUGAAACUUGAGUAAUCAAUUUCGGAGGCAGCCAAACGAAUCGCCGCGGAUUUAAAUUUGGAUUCUCCUUUGUACUUAAAUGCCACGAGAAACUCUUGCUUUAGUUCUGAUCACUCUACAACUCUGUCUCAGCGUUCUUUCAGUCAAACACUGUCAUUUUUUUUCUUGCUCCAUUUUACUUCUAUUUUAUCCCCGUUGGUAGCUCCAACAAUAUUUGUUUCCGCAGGCUACUCGAAAAUUUCUGUUUUAAGAAAUUCGAUGGUACCUCGUGAUGUUGCCAACAUGGUCUUCUAAUGAUUGUUGUUAGCACGAAAAUACAAUAGGAAUGCACGAAAUUGAAACUGAUAUGAUGUAUAAUCUCUUUUGCCGUCGAAAAAUUACGCAAUAGAAAUAAUAUAUACAGUGAAAUUUUUUUUGAUGUGCAUGUAAUUGUCGCUGACUUCCCGAGGACGAGGCCCACAACGGGGGAUUAGAAAAUGUUGCGUGCGCGCAUUGGAAAAUACGGGGAAGAAUGCAAAGUUUAUGCCGACAUGUACCGUCGUCUUUGGCUAUAAAUCCUGUUUUCGUCAGGAGGGAAGGCAAGAGCGAAGCAAUUUAAAGUGAGCAAAUGUCAGAAACGGGAUUUACAUUCUGCGCAACAUGAAAAGGAUAUUUUGUUGGAGAGUGAAAGCUUUAUUAGCAUCAGACUAAUGUUGCAUCUUCCUGCAUUGCUUUGCCUUGGUUCUUCAGUUUUAGUGG